rnacentral:tRNA from 1 species
UGGCUCAGUGGUAGAGCGCUUGCCUUGCGUGCAUGAGGCCCUGGGUUCGAUUCCUCAG